UAUACAAUUUAACCCUGGUUGAAGUUGAAAUAUAUCUAAUGAUGCUAUAUACGUUUAUUAUAUUAUGCUAAUCCUUGAGCAUAUAAAUUUGAGGUGGUUGUAGUAGUGAGAUCUAUCGUUAUAAAGAAAUUUAGUGAUGGUUGUUAGAUAGUAGAAGAGGCUAAAGCACAGUGCCAGCAGCCGCGGUUAUACUGUAAUUCUUCUUAUUUCUUUUUUGGUUAAAACUUUUAUUGAAAUUUAAAUAAAAUUGGUUGGUUAAAUAGGUUUUUUUUUGAGAAUACUUCAAUGAUGUGUAAAGUUCCAGUAUAAAGACAGGGAUUAGAUACCCCUUUAUUAGGAUAAAAAUUUUUGUCCACGGUUUCAAACUGAAAGGGUUUGGCAGCAAACUAAAUUCUUCCGGGGGAAGGUGCUUAUUAAAGAGAUGAUCCGCUUAUUAAUUUACUAUAUCUAGUGUUAGUGUAUAUCCGUUUGUAUAUUCACGCUUAGAGGUCAUAAGUGGGUAAAUAUUAAAUAAUU
rnacentral:rRNA from 1 species